GCCGUUGGCACACCGGGACGCUCACACUCGCCGCGCUCACACUCGAGGCGGGGUGGGGGGACGUGGGGGUCCCGGGGCGACCGGGAGCCCGCUUCGUUUCAGGGCCGAAGCUCGCGGCUGUAGGAGAGGAAAGCAGGUACCCGACCCUCCCUCCACCCUCAGGGUUACCUGAAGGUUGGGAAGGAAGGAGGAGGAGGGCGGCAGGGGGAGCCAAGGGGCUCUUGCCAGCCUGUUGGUGGGGCAGGUGUCAGUGGUGUUUAGCCCCGCUGUGUUCAGAGCGGAUGAAAAUUCACUCUGCAACGCUGCCCGCCUCAAAAGAAUAAAAGGAACUGACGAGACAGCAAUACUUAGAUAUUAAUUCAAGAACUGGGCCGAGCGAGGACUUGGCGACCUUAACCUUCUUUGAACCCUCAUCAGUGGUUGAGGGUGGAACCAUUUGAAAGAUGCUGCCAUCUCGGGCACCACCUGGCGCUCUGUUUGGGGGCGAUAAGGAAAGCCUUCCCCUAGUCCGUCAACAACAGCACACUCCAGACUGAGUUCUCGCCAGUGCAACAGAAGUUACCUAAUGCAGGAUGAGAUGCGCGAGGGUGUGAAUUAAUUGUAUUUCAAGAUGUCUUCAUCGUGGCUGGUCCAGGAGGGAAGCUUUGUACUGUGGCACUUCCAGCCAGAUUCAAAUCCGGCCUCUUUUAACUUAUUAGCUGGGCAUGCUCCCUCUUGCUGCAUAACCUAAGGCCUUAGUUUUCAAUGCUGUGAAAUGGGGAUAAAUGAUAAAAUGCAAGAAUACAGGUACAGCACCUGUCACCUUCAGGGUGUGUUAGUUCAGACUAAUACAGUUCAUUUGGGACCUACCCCUUUUGGGGACUUUGCUUUAAAGUUUAUUUAUUUUGAGGAGGGAGGGAGAAAGAAUGAGUGGGGGGAGGGUCAGAGAGAGGAGGCGCAGAGGAUUCCAAGAGAGCAGGCUUGGUGCUGACAGCAGAACAAUCCAUGAGAUCGUGACCUGAGCCAAAGUCAGACGCUUAACCCGCUGAGCCACCCAGGCGCUGGGGAGGGGUGGCGGGGGGGGGGGGGUCCUUUGCUUUAAAAGCAUCAAUUCUCAUCUAAUUAUACCUGUUUCUUCCCCCAGGUGCAGUUUAAUCAGCUUCUCCCAAACUGAUCUAACAAAGAAAGACCCUUCCUGGGAGGCCAUAGUUAUGUACAGGCAAACACUUUUCUAAAAACAUAACUCCAACAUCCCUCUUUGCCACAGAAGUAUUGAGUUCUAGGGACUGGAAAAAGAAAGCAUCUGAAGACGCCUGUGUGGUUAGGAGACAGCCAGCCGAGUGUUUAGGAUUCUGUCUUCUACGUGAUCUCAGCAAUAGAUACACACAUUCCUUCUCAUCCUCUCGCCUCUAAUACCAUCUGCCAUAGCUACUCGCUUUCCUAUUUCAUAUAACAGUGACCACGACAGGCAGUUGGAGUCGUCCUAUACAAAGUAUGUAGGGCGGUUGUCACUCUUUGCCCACCUACAGACCCAAGUUAAAAACCCCAGCAUCCAUUCAAUCGGUAGCAUCCUGCUGGCUUGUUACUACUCCCAAAUCCGGUCCUGGCCCUCCCCAUCUGCCCUGUAUUGCCUUCAUUCAGUGAUGAACCCGCCUCCAGCUGUGCUCCCAGGUUGUGCUCCUCGGGGCUAGCAGCCACACUACUGUCCAAUUAAGUAGAAAAUCAACUCCAAAUAAAGCGCGUUCCAACCCUAACUCCACCCCUCAAAAACCUCUCCUAGCCUUCAGAAUAAAAUCCGUAUUAUUUAACAAACAUAUAAAAUCAGUAUAAUCUGGCACCAAAGUACUUUCCCAGCCCCAUCUCCUGCUCCAGGGCCCCACAAGCCCUUGGCAAACCAGCUGCCACUCCUUGUUGUGAAACAACAGAGCCAUCCUCUUGUUUGUUGUUUUAUGCUGAGCAUGGUGCCCUGCACGCAGGCGCUCAAAUAAAUGCUUGUGAAUGAAUAAUUCCUUGCCCUUUUGUUUCUCAUGAAAUAUUUUAGACUCCAUCAGAGUCUUUUAUUAACAUGCGGUGACCGAUACUCGUUGUACAGAAUGCCGAAGAGUUGAAAGAAAAACAUAAGCCACCUGGAAUCUCAGCGGUCGGGAACUGAGGUGUUCUCUGGGGAAUGCACCUGAGUCCAGACUUCUUUUUAUCAGGACACCAGUCAUUGGAUUCGGGGCCCACCCUACUCCAGGAUGAUCUCAUCUUCAAUUACAUCGGCAAGGACCUGUUUCCACAUAAGGUCGCAUUCUGAGUACUGAAGGUUAUGACUUCCACAAAUGAAUGGAGUGGCGGACACAAUUCAACACGUAACAGACAACUGGAGAUAAGAGAGAAAACACAACCAACCAUGAGUGGAAAGGCGUUCAGACUGAAGGAGAGAAAGAAAUACGGAUACCAAGCGACAGAGGUGGUUGUACGCAUUGAUAGAGUGGAACCAGCCACAUGAGAGGUACCCACAUAUAAGGUCAUCAUCAACGUGCUCAAUUGUCUCCCGUUUUUCUUUGUUUCUCUUUCCCAUCUUUGAUAAGAACUUCUCAUCUUUGCAGUGAUGCAGAACCAACAGAAUCAUGACCUCUUGUUUCCAUGUAUGCAGUUGAGGUCAUGCUUUUAUGACACCUUUGGGCAAAACUUUUUCCCUCAUUGAGAAACUGGCGAAACAUUA